GCGGCGGAUAGCAGCUGAAUCUGGCGGAAUCUUGCGACUUUCCGGUGGAGUCGAUGAAUGCCAACCAUAGGUGAUGCAGAAGAAUGAGCAAAAAAGACAGCAUUGCAACAAAGUAUGAAAAAAAAAAAAGAGGCAACAUUAUAACGAAACACGAACACCAAAUUAAUGAGCUAGCUUGACUAGAAAAGUUGAGCUUGGAAGAAGAAGUGCUAAAGUAGAGUUGACAUGGGGACUUCAUAUCUUGGGAUUUGUGUUGAUAUCUGAGCUUGUAUCUGUAACAUAUUGCAACAUAGUUUAUAUGUAGAAAUGUAAAGCAAUUCUCAUGUAAUUGAAUUUUUUUAUUGAGAAAAAUUAUCUUGACCUUUCCGGUA